rnacentral:rRNA from 1 species
UUUGCAGCCCCCGAAGUCCGGAGGGUUACCUUUGUGGGGCCAGCCGCCGCAGGUGGGACAGAUAAUUGGGGUGAAGUCGUAACAAGGUAGCCGUAUCGGAAGGUGCGGCUGGAUCACCUCCUUUCUAAGGAA